GUGGGUAUAGCUCGGUGGUAGAGUGGGUGCUUAACAUGCUCGAGGUCCUGGGUUCAAUCCCCAGUACCUCCA
rfam:Camelus ferus unplaced genomic scaffold scaffold812, whole genome shotgun sequence.